ensembl:lncRNA
AAACCAGGCAAUAUUAUUUCUUAUCUAUGCAAAUGGAAUAGUAGUUUCCACUUUUGUCUAGGUCUCCUCAAGACUUAAUCUGUCGGGAAUUUUAUGUGCCCAUGGUCGGCUUCAUCUGUCUUCCAGACAGAGUGAUAAAAAGUGGAAUCACAGCUAAUGGAGUCCCAUGCAGUGUGCUGCCAAUCUCUAGCAUCUUUGGAAGUUACAUCUAUCAGCGUGGAAUUCUCACCUGAGGCCUGCUCGUUCAACAAACGUCGUCUGAGGGCCUGCUAUGUGACUGGAAAUGUGCUAAGCAUUAGGUAUGCCACUUAAAUCAAAAUUGUUAUUUAUUAUUAAUGUUUGUCCACUGCUAAUUAAUUUUAUUUUCCCAUGAACAGAUUUUUCCAUGAAAUCUAACAAUCACAGGGAAUCAAGUCUGUUAGAAAAGUUUGGAACUAAGAAAUAGAUGAUUACACUUGGUAUCAAACAUGAGUUAAUGAUUGGAAUUCAAUGAAACUGAUUUUUCCAAUGAGGCUGGUAAAUUUGAUCUAAAGUGAGUUCCAGACUAAGGGAAAAGUAAUAUUUAUUGAACACUUAAUAUGUUCCAAAAAUUAUAUUUUCCAAACACCACUUUAGGGAACUAUCUCAAAAGCCCAUCAUCUGUACUUGCCAGUGAGAUUCAGUGAUUGUUACAGAUCAGUUUGCUAGGAGUUGGCAGUGGCAGAUACAAUCUCACAUCACUCUGAUGUCAAAGUCAAAGACCAUGUUCUUUCAGUUACAACGGUAACAUAUCCCUGGGAGUUUCAAACAUUUUAUGGGCAAAGGCAAUAAAAUUGAAAUAUUUACAUAGCUUCCUGGGGGAACCACUUAGAAAUAAGAAAACACAAGUAUACAUAUGUAACAAACCUGCACGUUAUGCACAUGUACCCUAGAACUUAAAGUAUAAAAAAAAAAAAAGAAAUAAGAAAACACAGGGGAUCAGUAAGUUUUGAGUUGUUUAUCAAAGAACAUCAUUCUUUUUGAUAAGUGUACCUUGUACCUCCAUGCAAGAAGAAGAGCAAUUUCCAUUCCAACAAAAGACAGCAAAUUCCAGCUGAAGGAUGACGAGAUGAGAUUUACAAUGGAUUACCCGAUGAAAAUCACUAGACAGUAACUCCAAGAUGAUGGGAUUACAAACUUUAAAGCACUUCAAACCUAUAAUUGUUUGCCACAUUUGUGAUCUAACUUGAGGGUACCUAAUCCCUAUUUGUUGUAAUACAGAGAAUUUCCCAGCACUAAAACAAAAAUCUCCAAAUAGGUAAUAUGUUUCUUUGUUCUUCCAUAACAUUGUCAUCACCAAAACCCAAUCAGACAGCCCUGACACCAUGUCCUCUUCUUAGAAUCAAAUUGGGGAGAUAAUAGCAAAAACCAUCAUUUAUUACAAAUUCACUAUGUACAUUGUUAUACUUCAUGCUCUUAAUGUAGCUAAGAAGUGGACAUUAUUAUUAUAAUACCUCUUUUAUAGCUGAGGUUUACAGAAUGUAAGGAUUUUUCAUACAACACAUAGUUGUAAGCAAUGAAUGCAGGAUUUGAACCCAGUGGUAUUCAACCACAAAUCUUCAUUUUUUAACUAUUAUACUAUAAGUUUAUCAUCACUGCAAGAAAAGUAAAAAUAAUUUUUAAAGCAUAAAAAAUAAAAAUAAAGGUUAUAAAUAUCAAUUUAGUACCACAGUACAAAAAGAAAAUGGGUUACACAGUACCAAAUAUGUGGGAGAGUAAUGAGGGCCCUUGGAUUUUGAAAGUCUGAGUCAGACUCCACAGAAAAUGGUAAAGCGUUCUUGAGAAGACUUUUUCUGUCUUAAACUGAAAUAAUAAUUUAUCACUCAACAGUUUUCGCUCUUUGGUUUGUAGAUAAAAUUUUUGUUAUGAAUUAAAUAAUAUUAUAAUUGUUAUUUCAAUAAAUAGCAAGUUAUAGAAGCUUGAGUGCUGGCCUUUCUUAGCACAAUGUCCUGCCGUUAACCUACCAAUUGUCCUCUUCAGCCCCACUUUUUUCUUCUUGAUUCAACACUGGCCCAGAUAAUGGAAUCAGCAAUUCAAAAAGGCUCAGCCACACUUAGGGAGUUCUCCUGGGUGCCAAGUAUUGUCCAAAAUGCCUCACAAACAUCCCAGUGAGUUCUCUUGGUGUUCCAUUAUCUAUAUUUUCCAAAUAAGAUAUAUAAAGGAAAAAUACCUGUGUAGCCCUUUGAAAAUUAAGAAAAAGUUUCUUCCCAAGGUGGAUUCGUGAGAUUUCUUUUUCUGAAAUCUCCUGAAUCCACCUUUCUUCUUGUCUUAGAAAUGAGCUGGAUAUGACUCAUUUAUGGUGCCAGAGAGAGAAAAUAUACUCACUUCUCAGAUUCUUACGUGAGGCAGUUGCCCUUCUGCCCACCCACUUCAUUUUCUAGGGAAAGACUUGAUCAUCCUCUUUCCUUGGUUCAGCAGUGGACAGUCCACAUACUGGUUUGAGACAAAGCAAUGAACAAUCUUGCCAUGUCUUGUUUUUCUCAUUUCAAUUCUCCCUGGAAGAAUGGGAUUGUAGUUAUGGUAAACCAUAUAUUGCUUUUCUGCUUUUGUGAGUUUCAGUAAAGUCUUCCUUUGAGUUUCUUGGAGGUAGAGACUAUAUCUUAUUGAUUUUUAUUCCUCUAGCUCCUAAUUUAAUAUCUGGUACAUUAUCUAUACACCAUAAAUAUGAUAUGAAUUUGAUUCCAUAAAAAGUCACUUACGUGAUUUGGAUGUUUAAAAUUAUUCAACAUGGGCAAGGGCAUUCAUUUUAUAUGAAAAGUAAGGCUUAAAGAAAAUCAUUAUCACAAAAGUCAGGGGAUCUGUUACCUUUAAGGUGAAGGAACAAUCUCCCAAAGGCAAAAGACACACAGGAGCUUUUUGAAGUGCUGUCAAUAUUUUAUUUCUUGAUUUGCAUGGUAGGUACCCAAAUGCUCAGCUGCUAAUUAUUAUUUACAUUUUUAUAAGCACUUUUCUGUAUGCUUUAUAGAUUUUAUGAAAUACAUCAUACAUGUAUAAAAUAGAUUAAGCAAACAGAGAUGUGUUUGCACAAUUUAAGGGAAAUUAUAAUCCAAACACUGUGUAAUCACCAAACCACAUGUGUUACUACCAAGCUAAAAUGAAAAAGAAAAAACUAAAGGUGACUUAAAUUAAAAUGUCCCUAGACAAAGUAAUUAUCCGACUUAACUUCCAAUGUCUGUGCACAUGAUACUUCCUAGUGAGGACAAGAAAGGGGAGUGGCAUAGCAACUAUGGAAAAAGAGUGUGUCAAUAAUGGGAUUGAAGGACAAGAGGAAAUAGUUCUUGGUUCAUAGAUUUGGGCAGCAAAUAUUCUAUGUGAGUGAUGAAGAGAUACGUACUCCACUCGGAAGGAUGGCUCCUUUCUCUUCAGAAGGGAUAAAAGAUGAAUGGAAGUCAGACUAGGGAGGGGAGGGUGUUAGAUGGUGGUGGUUUUGGUAAACCUGAUAAUUUUGGGUGAAAAAUCAGAUCUCCCAGAUUAAGAUUAUGAUGCUCUAAUAACACUGUAAUAUUACUUAAAGGAAAAGAUGGGGACCUAAGUCUUGGCAAGUGUCACACAAAAAUUAUUGAUAUAUUGAUCAUCUUAAAAGGUUACUAUGUUUAUAAAUCGUAACUGUGAUGGAGCCACAGAUUGGUGGGCAGCUCAUUGGUAUUACAAACUGACAUCGAUGAACUAUGGUGGCUUGACAUUUGUUCCUUUGUUCUUCUCUAUGAGUUAACUUAUGUGACAGGCUGUGUUUUCAAAGGUCUGAGCUUUAGAAUGAAUCAGAGUAAACAACUGCCCUGCAGUAAUAAAAUGCCUACACCUAUUUGCUGAAUGAAUCCUUCUUGGAAGGAGACAGUUCUGAAUGGAAUGGCUCUGUACUUCGAAAUCUAAUAAUUAAGCACUUUUUCACCAGUGGAUCAAGACCCAUGGUUAUAGGUAUUAUUAUCUCCUAUAUAGAAUAUGUUCCAUUUUGCCAUGCUUAAAUUCCUAAGACCAAUGGAAUGGAAACAUAGAAUUAACCCGAUUGAAGCAGAAAGCAUUCUGGAGUAAAAAAUCUCUCAUUCUCCUGGUCUGUCUUAAUGGGAAAUCAAAUGUGAUUUGUGUUGUGUGGAGAUGAUUACUGAUGGGUAAUUAUUCUAAAAUAUCUCUUUUCAAAUCCUUUAUAUGGCAAUCAAGGAAGAAUGUGAGAGGUUAGGCAUUACAUUAGCAGGGCUAUCAGUAACAUAUAAUUUCUUAAUUAUGCAUAAAAAUGAAUAGCAAUACCUACUCAAGGAGUUCUUAAAUUUCCUUUGUGAAGUCUGGAGGACACAUGGGCCUCCGAGACUUAUUAAAGAAUAUGUGGUUAAAAAGACAGAAGCAAAGAUUCUUCUUUCUGAUAAUUGUGUGACUGAACCUCAGUUUUCUCAUCUCUAAAAUAGGAAUAAUGAUACUUUUUACUCGGGGUUGUUAUGUGAAUUGAGUUAUGUAAUGUCACAAGCUGUUUAUUUUUGUGCCUAGCAUAUAAUACAAGACACUCAACAAAUGAGAGCCCUUAUUAUGGCUGUUAUUAUUAGUAGUAGUGUUACUAUUACUACCUCUUGUACUAUUACUUUUGGCCAAGGCUUACCUAAUUCAGGUAGA